rnacentral:rRNA from 1 species
CCUACGGGAGGCAGCAGUGGGGAAUUUUGCGCAAUGCUCGUAAGAGUGACGCAGCGACGCCGCGUGAAUGACGAAGGCCUUCGGAUUGUAAAGUUCUUUUCUAAGGGAAGAAGAAAGUGAAGGUACCUUAGGAAUAAGCCUCGGCUAACUACGGGCCAGCAGCCGCGGUAAUACGUAGGAGGCGAGCGUUAUCCGGAAUGACUGGGCGUAAAGGGGGCGUAGGUGGGUUGGCAAGUUAGUAGCGUAACUCCAAGGCUCAACCUUUGAACUACUACUAAAAUUGUUGGACUUGAGUGCAGGAGGGGCAAGCGGAAUUCCUGGUGUAGCGGUGGAAUGCGUAGAUAUUAGGAGGAACACCAGUGGCGAAGGCGAGUUGCUAGACUGUAACUGACACUGAGGCACGAAAGCGUGGGGAGCAAACAGGAUUAGAUACCCCUGUAGUC